rnacentral:rRNA from 1 species
UGGGGAAUAUUGCACAAUGGGCGCAAGCCUGAUGCAGCCAUGCCGCGUGUGUGAAGAAGGCCUUCGGGUUGUAAAGCACUUUCAGUAAGGAGGAAAGGUUAAGUGUUAAUAGCGGUUAGCUGUGACGUUACUUACAGAAGAAGCACCGGCUAACUCCGUGCCAGCAGCCGCGGUAAUACGGAGGGUGCGAGCGUUAAUCGGAAUUACUGGGCGUAAAGCGUACGCAGGCGGUUUGUUAAGCGAGAUGUGAAAGCCCCGGGCUCAACCUGGGAACUGCAUUUAAAACUGGCAAACUAGAGUGUGAUAGAGGGUGGUAGAAUUUCAGGUGUAGCGGUGAAAUGCGUAGAGAUCUGAAGGAAUACCGAUGGCGAAGGCAGCCACCUGGGUCAACACUGACGCUCAUGUACGAAAGCGUGGGGAGCAAACAGGAUUAGAUACCCUGGUAGUCCACGCCGUAAACGAUGUCUACUAGAAGCUCGGGUCUUCGGACUUGUUUUUCAAAGCUAACGCAUUAAGUAGACCGCCUGGGGAGUACGGCCGCAAGGUUA